AGUGAACGCUGGCGGUAGGCUUAACACAUGCAAGUCGAACGGCAGCACACUAAGAGCUUGCUCUUACCGGUGGCCAGUCGCGUGCGGGUCAGGAAUACAUCGGGCUCUUCUCUUUCGUGUGGCAUCACGUAGGUGAAGCUAAGAUCAUAUCGCAUCUCCUCCUCCGUGGUAAGCAGUGGAUAUUCUGACCUUGUGCGAAUGAAUGCGCCGCUGUUGGACUUGCUAGUGGGCGGGGUAAUGGCCCGCCAAGGCGACGAUCCGUAGCUGGUCUGAGUGGACGGUCAGCCACACUGGAACUGAGACACGGUCCAGACUCCUACGGGAGGCAGCAGUGGGGAAUAUUGGACAAUGGGCGCAAGCCUGAUCCAGCCAUACCGCGUGGGUGAAGAAGGCCUUCGGGUUGUAAAGCCCUUUUGUUGGGAAAGAAAAGCAGCAGGUUAAUACCCCGCUGUUCUGACGGUACCCAAAGAAUAAGCACCGGCUAACUUCGUG
rnacentral:rRNA from 1 species